UUUUUUAUUUAAUAUGUGAUGUGCUACCAAGCUAACUCCCUCAUCUCUUUUACCAGUGUAUUGUUGAUGUGAAGAAGCGUGCCGGUUCAAAGCAGUCCAGCAUUUCUGCCAAAUCAUAUGACCCUGAAGACCACGGCACCAGAGGGGUAAAGAUCGGAGUCCUCACUGUGGUUGAAGAUGAUGUUGGCACUCCUGUUUAACUGGCCACUGUGAUAAACCGUGCAAUAAUCCUGGAAGAGGCCAUUGUUCUACAGGAUACUCCAGAUCUGCCAGAAAACUUUGCUUACUUGUUAGGUCUCUUGUAUGCACUCAAUAUCGAAUACCCAAAAGAACUGAAAUAUACUUUUGAAUUCAUUCAGAAAAUCUUCAUGGAUCUUGGCGGUACCUGCUCUGCGAGAGUCCAGUCACUGAAAUUAAAACUGUUGUAGUUGACGAUUUUGCAGAUGUCACUGAAACUAUGGCAAAUCAAAUGGGACAAUGAUUGUUGCAAUUAUACUUUAGUAAUUAAGUAUUUAAAAAAGUAUUCUUCUUUAUAACAAUGUAUUAUUCGAUUCAAACUUUGCAGCCUUGAGGAAUACUGAAGUUUUGAGUUGAGGGGUUUUUUGUUUGUUUUUAUCUGGCUGUACUGGUACAAGCUAACUAUUUGUUCUGAUACACUGUUACAUAUCAUACUGUACUUUACCAAGUGUUUAGGUUUAUUCAGAUGCAGUGUUAAUGUAUUCUCAAUGUUGAUUUGCCAAAAUAAUACAAAAUGCUAUAUACAACGCUU